GAUGUUCUUUUAACUUGAGGUUGUAGAAAAGAGAACAGAGCGUUAAACAGAAUUACAGAGUUCAAGAGUUUUGACUUCUCUUUAUGGUCGUAGAGAUUGAACAGGUGAUCUAUUAAUUAUAAAGAAAAACGAAUAUGGCUUAAUGGUAUCUAAGACUUUUAUUUCCAUUCAUCUCUUCAAUAUCAAAAAUGGAAGUAACAGAGUUGACUUCCCAGUUAAUCAAUAAUCAAAGGUAACAAACAGAACCACAAUGACUGGAAGAGAAAGAGCAGAUCACAAUCAGUCAACAAGCAAAACAUGCCAUGAUCAAAGCAGAAGAGAUGAUAGGGGAGAGGAGAGCUUUUAAAAGACUGUAUUUAUGACUUCUGCCGUCUUACAUCCUGAGUGUGGUGCUUUAGAGUACUGGUUCUCAACCUUCUUACUGCUUUAACGCUUUAAUACUGAAGGGGCUCUAAAGGGUGAGCAUGGCAAACAGAGACCAUGCACUGCAAACACAGGCCUGAGCAAGGCAAACAUUGUAGACAGGUUUUGUCCUUUAACCCUUUUCCAUCUUCCUUGCUAAAAAAACAAAACAACAACAAAAAAAAAACCUUUAUGUUCAGUAAGCUACCCUCCAAGGUCUAUUCCACCAUUUGCCCACUGACUCAUUCUUGAGACAAAACAAUGAUGUCCAAAGUUUUUUUUUUUUUUUAAGUCAUUAUUUGCCUAGCAUAUUCAAUAAGGAUUUACCUACCCACCCUAGCAUAGACUCCUCAUUUUACCCCUUAAAAACUCACUCCUGUAGAAACACUCUCUUUUGCUUUCUUGCUUGUGCUUGCUUGGGGUUGUUGUUGACUUUGCAGCCCACCAACUUGCCCCUCUCUUAUAAUCGACUCCAUGCUAAAAAUUUGGUGACUGGGUACGUCCAAUUCUAAGAUGGCUGACCCCUCAUGUAAUAUAUAGUUCCUUAUGUUAUGGUGACUCCCCAACCAUGAGAGUGUUUUCAUUGCUACUACAUAACUAUAAUUUUAAUAUUAUUAUGAAUCAUAAUGUACAUAUCUGUGUUUUCCAAUGGUCAUAGGAGUCUCCAGUUACAAAGCUAUUCAAAGCCUGGAGGGAUUCCUACCCAUGGGUUGAGAACUACUGGUUUAGGUGUUCAGUCAUGCUGACACCCAGCCUUUUGAACUCUUUAAUAGCAAAUUAGCUUAAACAGUUAUCUGGAUGAUAAAAACUAAAUUUUUGUACAGAUCACUCAAAAUCAUUUUCAUUUAAUAAACAUUUGUUGUUGUGAUGUAAAAUGCACAUCAACUGGAAUCAGCUCUAAGGUAAGCCCUACAAAAGAGAAAAUAGCAUCCGCAGCAUGAUUAACACAUUAAAUACAUUGUGCGAGCUAUUCAGUUUCCUUGGUUUCUAUCUAGAUUGCUUCCAUCUAAUGAGUAUGGUACUUGAAGAAUUCUUUUUGUAGUGGUGUGGCUGCUGGUAGCAACAACAAAACCCAGGACAUUCUGAAACUUGUGGGUCCUCAAUCACUAAGCUAUGGCCACAGCAUAUGACGUAGUAAGAUGUUUUCAACUCAAAGUGAUAGAUUAUAUAAAUUGUUACACAAUUAAAAUAUCAUAUUGAAUGGCAGCUGGAACUACUCUCUCUAGAAAGAUUGCUCUGACUUAGAGCAAGAUAACUGACUGCUACCCAAGAAGUUUAUCAUUCAAAUGAAUCAUGAACUGAUAUAAUUGGUAAAGCAUUUUAAUUUCCAAGAAAAAGAGAAGACUAAGACAUAUAUUCUCUCUUUGAUAUUUUCUUGGAAGUAAAAUCACUGCUUAUGUGCGUCUAGGCCACUUACCAUGUGACCUAGGGUAGUCUUGAACCCCAGAUCCUUCUCUUUCUCCCAAGUGCUAGACUACAGAGAUGCUUUUACUAUGUUCUGGCUUAGUCUUGUUUUACAAUGAGCAUUUUAAAUAGGAAAGUAAUAAAACUUACCUCUUAAUUUGAA
rnacentral:lncRNA from 1 species